rnacentral:rRNA from 1 species
UCGCAGUUAACUUCCAUUUGCUGAUUAUGGUUUAUGACCUGAAAAGUUUAGCCAUAUGGCGGUUAUGCGUCUUGCUAGAGAAACAUGUUUAUUAAUACGAUAAUACACGAAUAUCUUACUUAUAAUUUACCUUACACACCGUCGUCGGAAGGGCUGUUUAUAAAAAUAGUUCUUAUACUGAAUCAGUAUUAAGUCAGAUCAAGGCGUAGGUCCUGUUUAUAAGAUUAAAUGUGUCUCUUUAAUUUAUUAUGAAUUAGAUAUUAAAUUUUCUAUGAAAAAGAAUUUAGUAGUAA